rnacentral:rRNA from 1 species
GACGAACGCUGGCGGCGUGCUUCAUACAUGCAAGUCGAACGAGAAGCUGACUUCGUUCCGUGGCAAGUGGCAGACGGGGGAGGGAUAUGUAGGAAAUCUGCCUUUAGGUGUGGGACAACAGAGGGAAACUUCUGCUAAUACCCCAUAUGAGCGUAGCUGAAAUGCUAUUCUUUAAAACUCCGGUGCCUAAAGAUGAGCCUGCAUCUGAUUAGCUAGUUGGUAGUGUAAUGGACUACCAAGUCGACGAUCAGUAGCUGGUGUGAGAGGAUGAUCAGCCACAAUGGGACUGAGACACGGCUCAUACUCCUACGGGAGGCAGCAGUAGGGAAUUUUGCGAAAUGGGCGAAAGCGUGACGCAGCAACGCAGCGUGAACGAUUAAGCUCUUCGGGGUGUAAAGUUCUGUCAGUGGGGACGAAACUUGACGGUACCCAAAGAGGAAGCACCGGCUAACUACGUG